rnacentral:lncRNA from 1 species
GGAAAUUCAAUGAGAAACAAUAUUCAGGUCAGGGCAAAGCCUAGAGAAAAACACUCAUUCAGAAGUGGGCUGCCAUCCUGCUUUUUCUGAAGUGAGCAGCUGCUGGGUAUUGAAACCAGCUCUCACAGUUGGGUCCCUGCCACCAUGGAAACACUCUGGCUUCUAUGCUGGGGUGGCCAAGGCACAAUGGGGUGGUUCCAUGGCCCAGAAGCACUCUGGCUAUAGAUUAGAACAGUGUUGGCAUGAGCAACACAGACCCAUGUGCAGUUCCUGACUCCAUCUCGGAAUGCCAAGAACUACAGCAAAAUCUUGUCCAGAUGUGAUUCUACCAUGCCAUCAGCCCUGAAGACAUAACUCCAGAAUUACAGAUUUUGCCUAUUUAUCCAAAAUGUAAGUAAAGGUGGAUAAUCUUUUCAGUUUAUUGGUUACAAAUGACCAGCUGACAAGUUACUCAACUUCUGCAAUUGUGGUGAAAUUCUAGAGCUACCAAGACAGGGUCACUUGUCCAAGAACAUCUAAGGGAUUGAUUGGCUCUUCAGAACCCGUGCCAACUUCCUUUCUGCAGGCGGGCUAAAUAGUGGAUACCUUUUAGAGAAGGGAAGCCAUCAUCUUAGGAAAAAACCUCUCUCUGCUGUGAACAAGCUGAGUGCAAUCACAGAAACUGCAGACAAAAGAGCUUUUGAUGACAGAUACUUCUGAUGCCUGGUGUCUUCAAAGGCAUUCCAGGAAAGGUGAAGGAAUAAUUAUGAUUAACAAUAACUCAUAUUUCUUCCAGGAUGCUACUUAUUGAACCAAUGGAACACUUGAGAAAUAUGUCAGUGAGUCAGCUUCACCCCCAAGCUCUUUGCAUUGAACUGAAUAAAUCCAAAUGAAUACAUUCUGGGAGAGAAGUAAAGACAGUAGAAUG